UACGUAGGCGGAAAAUUAAGUCAGUAUUGAAAUCCUGCAGCUUAACUGUAGAACUGUUAUUGAUACUGGUUUUCUUGAAUAUAGUUGAGGUAAGCGGAAUGUGUAAUGUAGCGGUGAAAUGCUUAGAUAUUACACAGAACACCGAUUGCGAAGGCAGCUUACUAAGCUAUGAUUGACGCUGAGGUACGAAAGCGUGGGGAGCGAACAGGAUUAGAUACCCUGGUAGUCC
rnacentral:rRNA from 1 species